rnacentral:rRNA from 1 species
ACGGGGGGAGCAAGCGUUGUUCGGAAUCACUGGGCGUAAAGGGCGUCUAGGCGGUCAGGUAAGUGAGAUGUGAAAUGCCCCGGCUCACCCGGGGACCGGCAUCUCAUACUGCUUGGCUUGAGUACGGGAGAGGAUGUGGGAAUUCCCGGUGUAGCAGUGAAAUGCGUAGAGAUCGGGAGGAACACCAGUGGCGAAGGCGGCUACCUGGACCAGCACUGACACUGAGGCACGAAAGCGUGGGGAGCAAACAGGA